UACAGAUGGAAACCUGGCUGGGGCUGGGGCUGGCAAGGGAGCCCCUCUCCUAGCCUCGUCCAUGGGGACUGUGGCUCCACGGGCCCCAUCCUGCUCAGCCUCCCAUUCCUGCAGCACCUCCUCCAGAUUGAAGUAGUGCCGGUAGCUCACAAAGAAGGUCUUCACCUGGGUGAGAGUCUUGUUCCCGAUCACCUCUGCAAUAGUCCCAAAGUCUGUGCCAUACCUACAGAUGGCUUGGGCAGCCAAAAGCUGCUCCUCUGUGGUCCAGCAGAAGUUGAACUUGGUGUUGGCCUCCAGGGGGCGGAGUGGACCAAUGCCGCCCUCCAGGGCUUGGCACAGGCUGCUGUUCCUCUGCUUUAUGCUCUGUACCUCUCUCUUGAGGUCUCCACCAUCGGGCGGUCUCUCUCUCAGGCCUCCUCGACCCUCUUUGAACUCAUCACUGUCUUCUUUGUCCUUACAGCCCCUCAGCCGCCGGGCCUGUCCGUCCAUCAUGCCAGUUCGGCUGUGGGUUUUCUUCCAAGAGUAGUGAUAUUUCACCCAGGCUGGAAAUCAACUUGUCGGGCAGCAUCUGCUGGAUCCACACUUGUCGUGGAAGCCAAAGUCCUGUUCAAACAACACCUUGUCCUCUACUGUCCACUCGUCAGGGAACGGGGUGAAGUUGGCCAGGUCGGCCAGUGACUUCUCCACAUGGUGCUUAUGCCACAAGAGCAUGCCCAGCACCUGCUCAAUGUUGUAGCUGUGCUUCUCCGUGGCCAUCGCAAUGUACUUGUCAGGCUUGGCAUCCGACACACAGCGGUUGGGUGACCACACCAGCAUCCCCUUCAGCUUCUUGUUGCUGUAGCAUGUGAGGCUCUCAGGCUUGCUCUCUGGAAUUACAGCCUGGUAAUUGGUUCCAAUGCGGAUCAUGCUGUCGUGUGAGUGCUCCUCCUCUCUGCUGUCAUCCUCAGAGUGGGGCUAGAUGCUGUCAUCCUCAGAGUGGGGCUAUCUGCCGUUGGGCACCGUGUUGGCCCGGCUGUGGGAUUCAUACUCGGCUUCUCCAUCAUGGAGGGCAUUACCCCUCUCAACUGCCCCAGGGGGCGCGGCAGCCUUCGAGAGUGACAGUGGUUGCCGCACUUGCCCUGAGUGCCAUGCCCGGCCUGGCCUGGAGAGGUCCCCACGUGCUAUCUUCCAUCUUGCCCCUGCCCCCAAGAUGCUACUUUUCUAGAGGAUACUUUAUUUUUACCCCACUAUGACUUC
rnacentral:lncRNA from 1 species